UGAUGGACCUGUACAAGACUGUGAACGAGCCAGGUCAGCUCAACCCAGACACAAUGAAGAGGUGCUGUCUCUCGAGCUGGAAGCUGACUGCAGGUGUAAGCAUUGCUAUGAUGUUGUGUACCCGCUGGCUUUACUGCCUCUCCAAUGAAUUUUAUGAACAGACCGGAAUUUAUGAAUACACAGCGCUGGGCCUGGAUUCACCUGCAGGAUAUAGCCCAUGGCUACCAAAG